rnacentral:rRNA from 1 species
UUCAACAGGGGUGAAAUCUGUAUACACCGUGAAUUUUUUGAUUAAAGUACCUUUUAGGUGGUCAAAUGACUAGGAUUAGAUACCCUAUUAGUCCACUCUUAAUUAACCUGGGUAGUAGUAUCGAAACCUAAAGAAUUUGGCGGUUUCUAAACCUACUAGAGGAACCUGCCCCAUAAACGACAAUCCACGAAAAAAUUCACCCGGGCUAGUUAUGCAGCUUAUAUACCGUCGUUCAGAGGACUAAAUAAAUAGAUCCUCUUAAAAGCUUAGGCUAAUAAAUCAGAUCAAGGUGUAGCUUAUGCCCGGGAGAGGGUGGGUUACAAUGAAAAUUUAUACGGAACUUCUAUUUUAUGAUAGAAAAGAAGGUGGAUUUAGAAGUAAGACUUAAUAUACUGAAAAAGGCUCUCAGAAAUGUACAC